CCUGGCGGCUGUAGCGCGGUGGUCCCACCUGACCCCAUGCCGAACUCAGAAGUGAAACGUCGUAGCGCCGAUGGUAGUGUGGGGUCUCCCCAUGUGAGAGUAGGGAAUCGCCAGGC
rnacentral:rRNA from 1 species